rnacentral:rRNA from 1 species
UACGGGGGGAGCAAGCGUUGUUCGGAUUUACUGGGCGUAAAGGGCGCGUAGGCGGCCACCGCAAGUCAGUUGUGAAAUCUCUGGGCUUAACCCAGAAAGGUCAACUGAUACUGCGGGGCUAGAGUGCAGAAGGGGCAACUGGAAUUCUCGGUGUAGCGGUGAAAUGCGUAGAUAUCGGGAAGAACACCAACGGCGAAAGCACUCUGCUGGGCCGAAAAACUGACACUGAUAGACGAAAGCUAGGGGAGCAAAUGGG